GAGGUGUGGGGGUAAGGGGAGGUCAAACAGGCAGUUAGCGUUGGUGCUAUUGUCCUGACCCUGAGGGUCCACCCACGAGCCUUGCCCUAUGUGCCAUCUGGGGCACCGUCCUGGCUGGCAUCUGCCGUGGAAAAACUUAAAGGAGACACGGCCUCGUCCCUUGGAAGCCAAGAGAGGCUGGGGUGGAACAGUGGCGAUGGACGCCCAGGGGUGGGGGGCUGCCUGGAUGCCACUAUCCCCUUCACUGUCUCUAAAGUUCCCUUCACAUCCUCUAGAUGAGGAUUAAAGGCAGAAUGUAACCCUAGUACCUAGUGGGGCCUCAUGUGGCUUGGUCUCUGCAGCGGAUGCCGUUCCAAAAAGCCCAGUCCAGCCAUCGAAUAGCAAGGGAAGGGGACGCUGCUCUUCCCUGGCUCUCUCGAAGGACAUCAGGAUUGCAUGUAGGAUUCAUGGCGAUCCUUUUCAGAGGCCUCUCUUUAAUCUGUUCAUUUGUCUCAUGCCUAGGAACUGCUCCCACACUCCCUCCCUCCACUUCUCUGGUGUUGCUGCUGUUGCUCUGCUCCUGGCAUUCCCCCCUCCCCAGUUUUGGUCCACGGGUACCCCCCUUCCCAGCCCUUUCUGGCCUAAGGACCAUUCUGACUUUGGAUGUGACAUCGCCUCACCAGUGUUCCUUUAACAGUUGCCAACCAAUCCCCACAUAAGUCCCUGAGCUGUCACAGUGCCAGGCCUGCUGUUGGCUGCUUUGCUGGAGUAGGGGGUGAGUGGUCCAUGGCUCCUGCCCUGAAGGAGCUCACCUCAGGGACAAAGCACCUUCUAUGUGUUGGCACUGUGUUUGCACAUGAUGCUAACCAUUUAAACCUCGCAAUAGUGCCAUGAGGUGGGCAUCAGGUCAUUAGAUCUUUGCAGCAUGCUCAUGAGAGACACGGUGCUAUUCUUAUCCUCUGUGUAUAGACCAGGGGACCGAGGCUCAGCAAACACUAAUUAAUAUAGGCAAGGCCAGACUCACACAGCUCAUGCCCCUGCCUCAGGCCUGGCUGCCCCGACCACCCAUCAGUGGAUGAUGACUCAUCCCAGGCCAGGCUGUCAGCCAAGGGCAGAAGUGACCACCAGAGCCUGGAAAGGAAGGUGAGCCUGGAAAGGAAGGAAAGGGAGUAUGGUGACCUGAGCACUGAGACUUGGGAGAAGCAGUCCUACAGGGCCCGGCCCAGUGAAGCCGCCCAGGAAUGUCAGCCGAGAGCAGGAGGGUGUGAUGCAGUGAUGGAAGCACACGCUUUGGCUCAAAGAAACAGGCCCCAGAGAAGGUGUUGGGAGCUGGGGAGGCAGAGAGGCUGGGGGUGGGAUAAAAAGAAAAAGGCUGUGCUGGGGGCAUGGGAAGGUGGGUGCUGGCGGCUGGCUGCCUAGCCAGGGGACCUCCCACCACCCAGCUCCUUCCUCUCCUUCUCUCCCUGCCCCUGGUUGGAUGGUGAAGUCCUACAGAUUGUAUCUUCAGUGUUCCUAGAGUCACCCCUCUCCAAUGGGGCCUGACCCCAGGCCUCCGUCUCUCUCUUGGGUCCCUGCAAUAGCCAGAGAAACACAUGCGUGCACCAAAAGUGCCUGCUCAUUGAUUCUCUACUGAGUGCGCUCUCUGGGGCCCCAGGGCUUCAGAUACCAUCCAUAUGUUGGUGACUCUUCAGCUACACAUCCUGCUCAGACACCCCUGGUGUCCCUUCCCCGCCAACCAGGCCUCCUGCUUCUGCAUAAGUGGCACCACUCAGCCACCCUAGUCAACAUCAGGUGGUCUUUACUGAGCUGUCUCCUCACUCCCACAUGGGGUGCUGCAGUGUGGGCCACACACUUUCCCCCAAGGGCCCAUCUUGAAGUUGACCAUACCCUCCACGUUGGCCAAGCCACAUUGCCCUUCACCUGGGCCCUUGCAGCAGCCUCCAAACUGGGCUCCCUACCUCUGUCCUGAGCCUCAGGCCCUCCCCUUGCAGCUGCCAGAGGAACUGUGGUGGUCAUGCAUCUGAUUGUGCCCUCAUCUGCUGAAAGAGGCCCCCCUGCUUCCCUUAGCCAGGCCGAGAAGGUUCUUAGCCAGGCUGAGAAGUUUCUUCACCCAGGCAUGCUGUUCUCUCUGUGGGGGGUUUCCUGCUGGACCUCCAUUUCUCCCUUCUUCCUACCCAUAAAGAAUCCUCCUUUUGUUCAUGAGAGUCCUCCCCUUGCCCCAACCCCACUGACACACAGCGUUGGACAGGGCCUGGUCCCUAGCCCGGGGCCAGGCUGGAUUGGGCUAAGUCAACCGUGGUGGUCCUACCCCCCUUGCCAGUGAUUGGUUUAGGAAUGGCCAUGGGACCUGGCUCCCACCAGGGAAGGGACACCUGCAGGUGGGCUUUCAGGGGGCAGGGCCCAGUCCUCCUGUGGAUACCCUGUUGGGUCUAAUUGGGAUGCAGAUACCUGGAACCACGGCAACCUUGUGGCCAUGAGGCUCCUCCCUGCAAGCCAAGGUGACACACUGGGAAGGCCAAAUGGAAAGAGAACAAAUUCUGUAUUUGAAGAAAUGGCGGAGCCAAGGGACCCCUAGGCCUGGACCUGCCUGCCCCUGACUUCUUGUGAGAUGACGUCUCUUUCAUUGGAACUCGCCAGAGUAGGGGGCUUGGGGCUCCUUGUAGCGUAUGCAGACCUACACCAUCCACGUGUAACUCCUCUUCCUGGACACUGUGCUCAGUUUGGGCUCCGUGUCAGCUCACAGAGGGACAGAGCUGCCUCUAGGGCCGAUGGCAACCGUGGGCCACGUUAACAGAAGCACAGGGUCCAGGCUGGGGGAGGGGAAGGCUCUGUGCUCUUCUGUCCUGCCUGGACCCCACCUGGGGAGACUGUGGUUACUCUGCCGUGACUGCUCCAGGACGGAGCGUGACCUACUGUGGUCCAUCUGCAGAGAAUGAUACCACUUGGAAGGGUCUGGGAAUCUUCCUCAUUCAAAGGGCAGGUGAGAGAACAGGCUAUGGGCCGGCAAAGCGAAGGCUCACGGGAGGCCUCACUGGUGUUUGGAGGAUGCAAGGAUGUGCGUGCGCAGGGCUGCUGAGGGCCAGGACCGGCCAUGAGCGGGCGAGGGAGCGAAUGACAGUAGAGUGAGUUGUGCUGACAGCUUGGGGCACCCUCGACUGUCAGGGGGCCUCCCUCUCACUUGGGGAACUUGGUGGAAGCACAAAGGCCCAGGCCCUCCCUGCCUUUCAAGGAGCCCGGCUCCUGAGCUCCUAGCACUCCAGGGGACCGCGAGGCCCUCCAGCAUCCCGGACCCCUUGGCUCGGAGGAAAGGAAGCCAGCAUUUGGUCUGGCGUCGAUUUUGACACAAAUCCUCAGGGCCGGGCGUUGUUGUCACAGACUGUUUUGGUAAGUAGUGAGUCCCCCGUAUGAAGCAUAACUGAAACUAGGGUAACAGAUGCAGUAGGAAAACGAGAGUGCUGGAAGGAUGGUUCUUAGGCGGUAAAACAAAAAUGGCCAAGAAACCUCCCAGUGUGUCAGAGCUCACUAGCAGUCCUCCUAUAUCCACCUUCCCUUCUUCCAGAGGAGCAGAACCCCUGAGUUUUGUCCGGCCAUGUGGUUGUCUAGAAAAAAGACACUCCCUAGCCUGGCGUCGAGGUGAGGCCAUGUGCCCGAGUUCUGGCCAGUGAGAAGUAGCAGAUUCCCGGAACCCCCUUAACAAGACAGCUGGUAGGUACUCUUUGUCUCCUUCCCCUUUAUCCUUCAUUUCUGCUGUUGGCAGGAAGACAAGACGUAAUGGUCGGCGCCUCAGCAGCCCCCUCAGACUGUGAGAUCUUGGCGACAGAGAUCAUAUGCAGCAAAGUAACAAGAGAAAGAGUCAGGUGAUGCCACCAUGGAGUAGAACUAUCAUGCCAGCUCCAGCCUGCCAACCUCAAGAUUUUAGAGCAACACGCUUCUGGCUUAGUUCUCUGUUCUUUGUACCUAUGGCUAAUUCUGAUAAAAAUGCAAACUAAGACCAGUAACUAUCAUUUUUUAUUCACGAGAUUGGCAAGAAUGAAAAGAUUGUUGUACCACCAGAGACAGCAUAGCACCGUGGUUAAUAUCCCACCUGGGCUGGACUCCUGCCCUGGACUGACCAGCUGUGGAAACGUGGAUCAAAUAUGUCAUAUCAGUGCCUUGUGCCUUUUUUGGGUGUGUCCUCAUUUGAAAAAAAAAAUGGGGGAAAACCAACGUGAAUCUGUUGAGUCUUUGCGAGAAAUAAAUUCUGAGAGCAGUGCCCGGUACAGGGCACGCGUGCAAAGGUGUGCCUCUCCUGUUACCACCGAGCUGCCACCCUGUGCUCAUGUGCAGGGGCAGAGGGGCUGUGGUCACACUUGGUCAGAGGGAGUAUAGAGUGUAUAAAGUGUAGACAGCUGUUUCAGAGGGCUCUGGGCCCUAUCAAAACUUCAAAAGUACAUAUGAGACUCUUUUCAACAGGUCCCCUCGAACCUGGCAAUCGGCCCUAGGAACCCAAAGCCUUUGGGGCCAGAUGUAUUCCAGAUUUUAGGGAUUUGGUGCACAUGCCCCAUUCUGUGUCACUGCUGUACAGGGUCUGGGGGAGCUUCGUGCUGCGGCCUCCUGGGGACCUUCAGCCCCCUCUUGGCUUCAGCCUCCUGCAGACAGUGGCCCCCCUCAAGGGCAGCUGGGAGGUCUUGGGGGAGUGUGUGCUCCCGUGGGGGCCCCCUUGGUGGAGAGGGCCCAGGGGCAGGUGGGUAAGUGCACGGCUGCCUUCAAUCCUUCCGCAGGAGGUCCCAGAGGGCUCCACCUCCCUGCUCCUUGCCCCCUGGUCCUCUGCAGUGACUCUUGUUUUGGCUUUUCCAGGUUCCUCUCACUCUCCCCCAGUCCCCGCCUCCUGCUUCCUGGCAUCACCCUCCAAAUAAGCCACCUGCACCCAAGUCCUAUCUCUGGCUCUGCUUUUGGGGGAGCCCAGCCCCAGAUGCCCCCACCCCCAAUGAAACACAGUGUGUCUUCAGCAAGCUGCAUCCAUACAGAGAAACCAAGACUUUAAGUAGCCUCCCAUCAAUGAGGGUCAGUCAGGUUUGUUGCCAAAUCGGUAAAGAAAAGGGCCUUGGUUUUCAGAGUGUUUGGAUCUGGCAGCUGUGGGUAAGGGCCUCGCCUCAACUCACCUGCAAUACGGAGGCGUGGCCUCUCCUGCUUGGUUCGGCCAAGGGACUAGAGAACUUCCCAUUGUCAGGGACUGCUCCCAGGAGGCCCCAAGGACACAGCAGUUACCAUGACCUUGAGGUCCUGCCCUCAAAGAGCUGACAUCCAAGUGGGAAGAGACAGUUGAUCAAUCCAGGUACGGAAGGUGAUUUGGCUUCUGGCAACAACAGGAGAGGAGAUCCGAGGUGGGGAGACAAGGCUGCAUUUGAUGGGGUUCCAUCCUGUAGCCAGGAUGAUGUCUGAGUGGGGAUCUGACUGGUGAGAAGGAGCCCUGGACACUGAUCCAGGGACGGGGGAACAGCAGAUGCAAAGGCCCUGAGGCAGAUUAAGGGUAGACUUGUUUGAGGAGGAGCAAGGAAGCCACAGGGGGAGGCACAAUAGCUGGCUGGGAGAUGGAAAGCAGGCCUGAGCUAGAGAGUCUCCACUGUCUGAGAGCAGAGGGGUGUACUGAAGGGCUGGGUGGGGGGAGGCAGGAGCGCGGUGCCCACUAUCUGAUUUGGAAGAUCCCUUUGCUUGCUACUCCGGGUGGACAGGAGCAUUAGCAGCAACAGGGCAAAUUCAGAAUGAGCCGAGUGGUGUUGGCUGCCAACACCAACCCCCCACGUCCUCGCCAACCGUAUCCAUGCCCUCUCCACAACAGGAAUGAGACCCCCGGCCACCACCAUGGGUGCUCCUGAUUGGUCUAAGGGGGACCACAGCCACAGUCAGUGGUCAGGUGUGUGCACAAGACCAGUCCCUGCCAAUGAAACAUCAGGAAAAGUCAGCAGGGGUGGUUCUGGGGGAGGCCUGGGGACACAGCUGGCUUGGGGUGACACCUGCAAGGAGCUAGGGAGCCAGCAGAAAGAGGGAAGGGGCUGCCCCUGCACCAGGGACCUGAGUCACUACAUGUUUCCUGCUGAGCCACCCUGGGAAUGUGUUGCUGGUCCACGUGGGACUGAGCCCUUUAGCUCUCCUCAGCAGAAACCUCCAGAUGGACAACAAGCAAAAGGUCCAUCGGAAGGGAGAGUCUAACGAAUCAGGGCCUGUCUGCUGCGGAUUAUAGCAGAGCCACUGCAGAGAGUGAGAGGGGACCUCGUGUCCCGAAAGGGGCCCAGCCACAAGAGGUGCCGUUGGUCCUCAACCUGAAUGAUGUCUGUCCCCAAGGUCAAUUGCCAGACUAAGCAAAUAGAAAUGCAGGGCAACCAGUUAAAUUUGAAUUUCAGACAAACAAUACAUAAUUUUUUUUUAAAGUAAAAAAAUCUCGGAGAUGGAGCAUGUUAACUGGACGGACGUCCUGUGUUUUUUCUGGCAACUGUACUCCCGGGGAACUUUUUGCUCUGCCUGGAGACACUUCUUAUCGAGGGUAUUGGGAGGAACAAGGCUGGCAGUUGAUAUAUUUGAAGUUACCAUAUAUGUGCACAGAAAGUACACGGAUCAAAAUGUGACAUUUUUCAGAAAGUGAACACACUCAUGACGCAGCCCUCCAGAGGAAGACACGGGCUGUGUCCUUUCCUGGACCCUGACAUCAUCCAGGUUCAGGUAAUAGAACGGGGACUCUCUGAAUUGACUCAAGGCGGACGAGGUCACAGACGCCCUUGGCAUAAUAAGGUCCAGGAGAAAGAACAGCUGGAGGUCAACCUUUGCAGAGUGAAAGGCCUGCUUGUCUUUUCCAAGUGCUGCUAUUGGACUAGACUCCCCCGGGGUGGGGGUGGGGGGCUGCUGCUCCUCCCCCCAGGGCCUGAGCACCCCUCUGCCUCCCCUCCGUCCCCCACCAGGGCAGUUGCAGAACUGACAAAGCUGAGAAGGCUGGAUGCAAGAGGAGGCGGAAAACUUCGGAGGGAAGAAGGAAUUACAGAGAACUAAGGUUCCUUGCCAUGUCCCCAGAGUCCCAGCAUGUACACAGCACACAGUAGGAACUUGACAAGGAUUCUCCUCUGAAGGCUGCUGGAGUCUGGACUGAUGGGAGGUCCCCUGGGAUCCUGUGUAGGCCCUCCCUGCUGAGGGAACGUGCAUUCUGGGGAGGACACUAAAAGACUGCUUGCUGGGAAACUCAGAAGCUGAGCCUUAACUUCUGUGGGCAUAAUCACACCCUGAAGGUGGUGAGUCUGGAAUGUUCCGGGCUGGAGAAAGCCAGCAGCGCACGUCGGCAGUGGUGAGAGGGAGAUGUAAGCACGGCACACGGGUUGACAUGUUUUCUCGUGCAGAGCCUCACGUUGGUGACCCCCCCCCACCCUCCGUCAAGUGCCAGGGAAAUCUGCAUCUUCAGAGAGAAAUCUUCCAGAUGCCAAAGAAUGGAUUGAUAAUGCCAGGCAAGGGGAAGCCCGUGUGGACUGAACGAAGCAGAGUGGUGUGACGGUGGACACCUACCUACUCUUCACAUCCAAGGGAUGGAGAAUAGCCGGGAAGUCUACCCCUUCCAGAAAUAACGACAGUGAAGUUGGUCCCACGCAGGAUGCCUGGGUGUUUAGGGGAGUAGAGGCAGAGAGGUGGCCGAGGACCCCCGGGGGUGAGGGCCGUGUGUUAAGUGUGCAGUGUGCACACAAGUGUGCGUGUGCCUCGUGUGUGUGCAUGGGGUGUUGGUAUGUGUGCCUCCCUGUGGAUGCCUGUUUUCCGCUGUUGUGGAGAGCACUGCACACAGGCCCCGCAGCCUCUGGCCAAGGGCAGAGGAAUUCUUUAUUUCCAUGGCCUUCCACGGUGAUUAAGUCUCCAAACUUUUCCUUAACCAUCAUUUCUUCAAAAUGAAAAAUCAAAUUGCAUCUCCAA